rfam:Crassostrea gigas strain 05x7-T-G4-1.051#20 contig744, whole genome shotgun sequence.
CGCCAGAUAGCUCAGUUGGUAGAGCAGCUGAUUAGAGAUUCAGGUGGCCCGGGUUCGAAUCCCGGUCUGGUCC